GCAAGUUUUUCCGCAAAAGCAGUUGCUUUUGCAGAAAAACUUGCCAGUCUAGACGCAGUCUUUCUGUUGUUAGGACCUGUGUCUAGGGACUGAUCACCAGCAAAGAUAAACAAGUUUUUUGAUGCACAAGAAUUGUUUAUCUAGUUGACUAUUUACAUAUAAAUUAAAUAUUGUAUUGUUCACAGUGGACAGAUCAAAGGCUUAUACAAGUGUAUUUAGGGGCAAAGAAGACACUCCGUCAUCCUUAUUAUGAUGUGAAUUGACUGCAGAUUUUACUUCAUGAAAGAGAGAUUUCAAGGAGGAUUUGUUGAAAACGCUGGUUACUGUUUCUAUGUAAUGUGUCCUGCCCAAGAGACAACCCAGCUGGGAAGACAGUAGUGGCCUUCCCUAUGUGCUUCCGACCUGAGCCCAGCUGCCAGGGACAGGAGCUGAAUAUCCAGGGGGUGGGAGGGCUCAGCAGAAGAACGACAGAGCCCAUCCCCUCCGUAUCCCAGCAGACCAGCUCUGUCAUUGUUACAAAUGACUGAAAUGUGGAAUGCAGUGUAGCCAUGUUGGUCCCAGGAUGCUAGACAAGGGAGCUUGGGAACAGAGAACAGGAGUUUGAGAGGAAGAGGAGAUCCUCCCACUGAACAAACAAGGUGUGAGUACUAACUUUGGAGUAAAUUUGCUUGACUGUUUGCAUUUUCUUCUGUUUCAGAUAAUUUCAGUUAUUUUAGUUACAUUUAUCAGUUGGGUUUGUGUGUCUGGGAGUGUUUGAGCCUUUGUUCUCUUGAUCAGUCUUAAUCAGCUUGUGAUCACCCUCCUCCUGUGUGCUUAACAGAGGGGUAGGGCUGACCUAGGAGAGAAGGUCUUAAAAGCCAGAAGCUAAGCCACCAGGGGAACACUAACAGGGGAGUUUGAGAGGCAGUUUGUAAGACAGAGUCCAUAACAGGGAGUCGUAGUACAACCUGUAUUGUUAGGAAGAGUUAACACUGCUCCUGUCUCCUCUGCCUGUGCCUGUAGCCAAACAGACAACCUGACUAUGGAUGCCUCUAUCCAGAUCCUGGUGUGAUUUUGGAGAAACCGUGGCUCGCAUUUCCCACAUACCGAAAUCCAACCUGGAGAGAGAAUCCAAUGUGAAAGGUGCCUGCUGGUGGAAUCUCUCAGGAAGCAGGUGGGAGAGCUACAUGGGGCAGAGGUUAGGCUAAGGAGCAUUUAUGCCCAUGAGGAAUUCCUUGAGAGUAUUCCUGUGGGGACAUCUAAGGCUGAGGAAACUAUCCAGCUUCAGAGAAUUGUUUGUAUGCUACUGGUGGAGGAGAUAAUUGUCUCGGGGCAUGUCUAGACUACCCUUGGCUUCUGAAAGAAGACAUUCAAAUUUGGUGUGAAUUUGCUUAUCUUCUUCUGAUCCCUU